AGUUGCAUAUGUAUGUGUUAUCUGUGUACUAGAGAGCUUAGAAGAGCAUGCGAUCAGCACUCCUCCGCCGCGAGAGCGAGAACUGUUCUCACCAUUACGAUCACCUCGGUAAAUUGAAUAGGAAUCAUCAGAGUUGAGAGAGGAUGGUAUUGACUCGUCGAGCCACGUUUCUGUCAGUGCAAUUAUGUCGUAAUCAGAUUCUCCCAGAGCUAGACGUAGAUUAUUAAGUUUGGUACGAAUUCCUCUAACGUUCUGAUAAAACACGUGCAGAUGUAAGUUAGAAGAGACAUUCUGGUGAGUAUGAGCCGAACUAUCAUCGAGGCCCACAGCAGUGAUUGGUGCUACGCCAAGGUAUGGUGAGGAGCGGGGUGCCAGCUGAUUAUUAGUACUGUUAACGUGGUGUGUGUUGGUAUAGAUUUCCGAAGGUUUGUGGGGAAGGUUUCGAGAAGCAGGACACCAAAAAUUUUGAACAGGCGAUCGACGGUCAGUGAAUUCACGGAAAAUCAAUCCCGCAGGCCAGGUAGUCGGAGCGAGAGCCUUGCUUUUAAGCGAGAGCAUUAAUCCCACCUUAAACGAAACAAAAGUUAGAGUGCUCGUAUCGCGAUCCCGUGGCAGCAGCCUAAUAACGGUGACGUCAUCAGUGCCUAGUUGGUGAGUAACCAUCGCUUUCACAUCUUGGUCUGAUACCGAGGGGGCUAUUCGAGUCAAAUACAGCCAGAACUUUUGUUCCAUCGGAACCGUAGCUAAGACCCGAGACGGUGUUGUAAUUGCUGUGCCAAAAAGUAGAGGAGCGGCAUUAUCGGUGGUUUUUGUAAUUGGUGGCGAAUAAUCGACAAGUCUACGUUUAGGCGCAUUGCGCUUCGGUGCAUUUUGAGAAGUGCGGAUGGAUUCACUAUUGCGUGCACUGAGUGGUGUGAAUGUGUUGGUGAGAGAUGGUUGCAUUUCCAGGCGGUCCACUAUGGAACGAACAGAGUGUGAGGUUGUGUGCGUAUUAACGUCUUUCUUAAAGCUCCUCCUUGAAACCAUCCAGGACGGCCGUAAAUUCGUCCAAUAAUACAGAUUUGCAACGCCGGAUGUUCUUGCAGCCAGCACAGGACCAGGAAGUAAGCGACUCGGGGAUGAGAAUCUCAUUCAGCACUGCAUCAGAGACUCCCAUACAGGCAUGGUGAAACGAUUCAUUACACCAUCCAGCACACACAUAUACAUUCUCGUCCGUUACAGGCUUAAGGCAUGAAGGGCAGGGAGCAGCCAUGUCGACGAUCAGCAAAAGUCGUGAUCCAGAUGAGCAGCAAACUUCAGCGCCAAACACUGAUGAAAAACUCGCCCGGAAUCGACUGAUGAAUACAGCAGCGAUGAACUCGAUCAGUAAUCUCACUCAAUCAGGCCCGGAACAACCACAGCACGAAAAACACGUACAAAAAACGGAAAAAUAAUCAGAGCGCAAACCAGAACACAACCGUUGAGA